rnacentral:SRP_RNA from 1 species
GCCGGGCGUGGUGGCGCAUGCCUGUAAUCCCAGCUACUUGUGAGACUGAGGCAGGAGAAUCGCUUGAACCCAGGAGGUGGAGGUUGCAGUGAGCUGAGAUUGUGCCACUGCACUCCAGCCUGGGUGACAGAGUGAGACUCUGUCUCAA